CGAGCGCAACCCUUGUCCUUAGUUGCCAGCAUUCAGUUGGGCACUCUAAGGAGACUGCCGGUGUCAAACCGGAGGAAGGUGGGGAUGACGUCAAGUCCUCAUGGCCCUUAUGUCCAGGGCUACACACGUGCUACAAUGGCCGGUACAAAGGGGCGCAAGACCGCGAGGUGGAGCAAAUCCCAAAAAACCGGUCUCAGUUCGGAUUGGAGUCUGCAACUCGACUCCAUGAAGUUGGAAUCGCUAGUAAUCGCGUAUCAAGCAUGACGCGGUGAAUACGUUCCCGGGCCUU
rnacentral:rRNA from 1 species